rnacentral:rRNA from 1 species
AGAACGAACGCUGGCGGCGUGCUUAACACAUGCAAGUCGAGCGAGGCCCUUCCUUCGGGAAGGUGCCCUAGCGGCGAACGGGUGAGUAACACGUGGGCAACCUGCCCCUAGCACUGGGAUAACUCCGGGAAACCGGGGCUAAUACCGGAUAUGACCUUCUUGGGCAUCCUCGAAGGUGUAAAGGAUUCUGGCUAGGGAUGGGCCCGCGGCCUAUCAGCUUGUUGGUGGGGUAAUGGCCUACCAAGGCGACGACGGGUAGCCGGCCUGAGAGGGUGACCGGCCACACUGGGACUGAGACACGGCCCAGACUCCUACGGGAGGCAGCAGUGGGGAAUCUUGCACAAUGGGCGAAAGCCUGAUGCAGCGACGCCGCGUGAGGGAUGACUGCCUUCGGGUUGUAAACCUCUUUCAGCAGGGACGAAGCGAAAGUGACGGUACCUGCAGAAGAAGCACCGGCCAACUACGUGCCAGCAGCCGC